AGCAUUUUGCGAGUCGCAUUCCAAGUUACAGUGGUAUAUAGGUAUACAAGGAAACAAUACCAAAGGUAUUAGAUGUAAAAAAUAUAUAUUAGGGCAUUACCUUACAACUUCCUAAAGUGGAGAUGAGUUUGUUCUUGUCGAUCACACGGUCUCAAGUAUCAUUGUGCAGGUAAUCCAUUUCCCGCCCAGGAGCCUAAAGUAUAAUUGAGUGCUAGUCAAAGUUUAGAACUCAGAAUUAAAAAAGGUUUCUUUCUCUCGAAAAGGCGUCGCCAUUGUUUAAUAUCUAUUUCAUUUUGUUUAUUUUUUUACGAUAAUCUACACACUUCUACCAUUCUUACUAUAUAUAUUAUAAAUAUUAUAAAUGCGAUAAUAACUCAUAUCACUCGUCUUGCUUAUGGAAAAAAUCCAGAAAGCGUUUCUGCGAUUAUUAUAUAAAAAGGUUUACGGGUAUUACCCAUAUUUGUACCCAUCAAAGUUCCUGCUUGGCGUUUUAGGGUUUAAUUCCUUAGAGGUGAGACGUAACUACGGGCUAUUGACUACUGUAUGUAACGUCUUACGGUGGAACUCAGACUGGCCUGAACUGGUUGCACAGCUCGUACGCCUGUUCGUUCCAUCUGUGGCUAAGGCCCAAUUUAAUUUCCGACCACGAAUUCGUCACCUAUUAGCGGUGCCUAAAACACGCACUAUGUCCCAUGGCAAAUCACCACUUGUCCGCGCUCUACAAUAUAUCGCGCUCCUCGCAUCAGCACCGGAAUGUAAUGUAUUUGCAAGUAGUAGGAUGGAUAUGUGUAAAGAAUGUAUGAAGUUCUGUGAGACGAUGGAUAAGCGAGAAUCUUCUGUUUUUUAUUUGUUUUUCUUUCUUACAUUUGUUCUCUUUUUCCUUUCUAGACUGUAUCAUGUACCUAGUUUGUAUACAUACUGUCUAUUAAAAAUUUCACAGUGUAUUAGUUUGCUGUAAUGCUGUGUAAAUUUUUUGAAUCAAUAAAAUAAAAAAUAAACUCUGUGUAAAAUUUGGUAUGGAGAUUGUUUCAGAGCCGGGGAAGGACAUCAGGAUAGUUUCUAUGAUUCAUCAUCAUUCUACGUCUACGCGUACGAAGUCGAGGGCAGAAACUAGUACUUAAAUAAAUGUAAUAUAAAUAAUAUUACUUAAUUAAGAGGGUAACAUAAAUAAUAACUAGACUUCGAUAGGUACCUAAAACAGUUUUAUAUUAAAUCAGGUUUCGUUGGAGGAAGAGUCAGAAUUUUGAGCAACGAUGCUAUGCGAGAAGUCGCGCAAAACAACGCGAGUUGCGUAUCCUGUACUGGAGGCCAAGACCCACGGUGCUGCUGAUUUACAAAUGAAAAUUUGUGUAAUGAUAUGCAAACGAAACCAGAGGAAUUAAGUGUUCAGCGGAACUGCUCCUGAAAAAAAGAUUGCUGUCAUAAGGUAUGUUUAUUAAUAAAUAUGUACAUAUUGUGGUACCUAAUAGGUAAUAUUACCGUGCUACAUCACUCGUUCUCUAAUCUCAAAGUCAAAUGGACCCCAUUCCAUGUAGGCAGACAUUCAUAAUAACGUUUAUAUAAAUCAAAUGUUUGCGUUCUUAACAUUUCAUAACAUACCAACGAAAUUAAACAUUAUUAUUAAACAGAAACGUUUCACAUAAGGCAGUAAUUUUUCUCUUAAGUAACUUUUUAAUUUAUUAGAUACUUUCUUAUUAAGUACUUUAUUGUGCAACCAGGACUCUUAGCGUCUAAGACGAAGAGGCAGUCUUAGAAUUCGGUUCAACUAUAUGUACUCGUAUGGCGCAAACACAUACAAUAUGUAUUUUUAUUUUAUAUUUCAUUGAAAUAAACGAUCCGUUUAAUUAUAUUAUGUACUCAUAGAGGUAGACAUUAAUAUUUCAUACAAAAAAAAGUUGACCAGCUAAAAAUUGGGCCCGAAAAUGCGAAAAGUUAUUUUUUUAAAUUAUAAAUCAAGAUGACAGAAUAUCCAAAAGUUGCCACGGUUUUAAGAUGAUUGUUAUACAAUCAAGAAAAACAAAUAUAAUGUGAUGUACUUGUGUACAUAUUGUAAUAAAUAAAUGAUCGUGGAGAUUUACUGAAAGUCUUUCCCGAGGGCCUCCAUGACGACACGUUGUGCCCUCCCAUUGCGACCAGGCCCACAUAUAUCGACAAGGAGCCGUUUUGCCUUGUGGUACGUAAUUACUGAUAUUUAAAUGAAUUUGGACUUAUUGUGUUUUACGCUGUUGAAUUUCGGUAAAGGUCAAUGUCGGGAAGUCCGUCUAUAAGAGAAGACAGUCUGACAAGCUCUUUCGUCGCUUUUAACUCCGUUUAAUUUUACACUCACUGAAGCGAUCAGGUCUAGCGAGUAGCAGUCUAAAAUGAUCGCCGACUGCGUUGAGUUUUGCGCAUGCCACAGACUGUAUUUUUCAGUUUAUAAUUUAUAUUAUACUACUUACUAUGUCGACUUACUACUGUGACUACUUAAUAAAAAAAAACACAAAUCAAAAUAUUUAAUAAUAUGAUUUGAUUUGUUCCCAAAGUUGUAGGUAUUAUGACUGUGUGUUACUUUAUUUUAUGUAGGUACGUAUUGUAUGUGUUUGUGUACAUACUAAAUAUAUGGUGUACCGAACUAUUUGGCUACUUUGACUGCUACGAAGUAUUUGACGCUGACUGUACAUGGUUGAAAAUAAAUAAUUUGAAAUUAAAAUAUUUAGAGAGCACUAAAUUUGAAACGCUUGUUUCAUGUAUAAAAAAUAAAUUAAGUAGGGUGACUGCUAUAGUUAUUGGCCACUACAUGGGAAUUGGCCACUCAUAACAAUAAGACUUCAAUUGGCUUCUUUCUUCCUGAUUUGUUAGGAGUGGCCAAUAACUAUAGCAGUCACCCUAGGUAAGCGUAACCAAAACUAAAACGCACAAUUUCUUUUUCAGAGAUGCGGGUAUCUACUUUCAAUAUGUGUGACCAGCCUAUAAGAUCGAACCUGAAGCAAACAAGACAAUUUACCCUUAAAUGUAUUAGUAUAAGUUAGCCUAUUUAUUAUUAAUUCUCCAUAUUGCCUAAUAAAACAACUAUAUUGUGCAUUAGAAGACAGUAUCAUCCGGACAUGGUAUAUCAGAAUGUUACGUUCUGUGGAUAUACUCUGUUCUAAUGCACAGACAUUUUUAUUGUGUGAUUAAUUCAUGGGAUCCAUAAAUUGAGACUAUGACGAUUGCCCAUGGUAUGUGUUUAGUAGUAGUAGUAAGAAAAGCAUUCCUUUUUACCAAUUUGAGAAAGGCCCUUUUUUCUUGUAUCGUCGUCAUAUAUAUUAUGUCAACCUUAAACUUGUAUGUAGUAUUAAAGUCACUUCUAGGGUACUUUUGAAGGUUUAAUUCUACUUACUUACAUAUAUGACAUGACAAUAGGGUUAGUGGAAGAAAUAAGAUGUAGACGAGUGCAUGCUAUAAUAUCGUAAAUUAAGUAUCUAUAAGUAUUACUCCUUCAGUAUUAGACCUAUAUAGAUGAGCCUUUCAGCUUUUUUUGGACAACAUUUGUAACACUUGAUGAGGUUAUUGUACAUUUUUUUUUCCUUUGCUACUAUCUACUCAGGUUGCAUUUUUUGUGAUCCAAGCUUGCCUUUUGGAGUGAAAUAUAAUGGCGAAAAGAUGAAUGUAAAUAUUGUUGUCCAUUGAUAACGUUCUCUGCAGAUUUUGACGGCGAAAUUAAUAACACUGUCAAUAACUAUAUACUUAUUUUAUUAUUCAUAUUUUAAAGGGACUCUUAUUAUAAAAGUAUGAUACAAAUUUCGGAUCGGCAAUCCAGAGGUGUGGGUUCGAGUCCCACGAUGGCCACAGUUCAUCAUCACAGUUAAUUUAUUACAUUGUGAUUGACAUCUGUAUAUACAAUUCAUAAAGUAUACCAUUUUAAUAUUUGCUGCCCACCUUAUUAAAUUUUAGAGAAGAAGAAACAAUAUACGAGAAGUUCUGUACUAAGUGCAUAAAUACCAACAUAAUGACAAUAUUGUGUAAUAAUUCUGUCUAUUUUUGUUAAGUACCUACGUUAUAAUGUAUAGUUUUUAUUUUAUUUAUUGAUUAAUUAGUCACCUUAGGAUGUCGUUAUAGGUACUUGCUAAGCUAUAGGUUUAGCUUGUAAGACUCCAGUAACAUCAUUAUUAAGAUGUAACUCGUUUGUAACUACAGGAUCUACAAUAGCGUCUUAUAAGGGUGAAGUAUUAUUUUCUUUUCCGAUAUAAGGAGCUCUAAAAGACUUUUUUACGCCUGUUUAGACCCAGAAAACGCAAAUAGCAGCUGCUUAUUGCGUGUAUGGAUGUUAAGGUUGUACGAUUCACUUUAAGCUGUAACACUAACUUCUUACAAGUAGCAUGCAUUAUAGCGACCAAUACAGCUACCUGUGGCUCGGUGAACCUCUUAAACACUUUUAUGUCAACUGUACCUGUAGGCUAAGACUACGAGUAUGUAGCUAUUCUAGAGCUGUUUUAUGUCUAUAUUAGGUUCGGCUUUUCGUCCGUCUGUCUCUCUCUCUCUCUCUCUCUAUCUCUAUCUCUAUCUCUCUCUCUCUCAGUUACCACUUCACGCUUAAACCGCUUUAGAUAAAAUUUGUUCUGGAGGUAGUUUGAGGCCCGAGGAAGAUAAUAGGAUAGUUUUUAUCAAUCAUCAUCAUCAUCCCACGCAGACGAAGUCGCAGGUAGAAGAUGGUUAACUAUAAUAAUGGAUUGGAUAACAAUGCGUACGGUUACAGAUAACUUCUUGAUACGUUUUUGGUGACCGUAAAAAAUAAUAGCAGCAUGCAGAGGCCUUGGAAAUUGCACUUAAAAUGUAAUACUUAUAUAAGCUGUAUAUAAUGUAAAUACGAGUAUAUCGAUCACUUAUAGACAGGAAGGAAACUUAUCGUAAGGAAAUGUGAUGCAGUCGGCGAGACAAUACAAAGUCGUAUAGAUAAUAAUAUAAUAUAUUAAUGUAAAAGGCUGAAAGAGAAUAGGUAAACUGAUUAUGUAAUUAAUGAUUCGACCAAGAAGAAAAUGAAUGACUGAGAUGUCUAGUAACCGAAGUCUGAAAGCGAUACUAAGGGCCAGUCGCACCAACCGCAAUUAGCGGACUGAUUAACGUCACUCACCGGUGACAUGAAAUUUCCUAAAAAAUAAAUUUAAGUAGUGAAAGCUUUAACUGUGACAAAUGGUCUGUGUACGUGAGAUAUGCAAACGGAUGACAAACUGCUAUAAUAGUACGGGCACGUCUGAAAAUAUCGAUACAAAAAAAGUGCCAAAAAUAUGUGUACACGACUUUAUUGCCCAUAUAUUAAGGUGGUGUAUAUUUCAGACGUACGUUACUGUACGUCCUAUUAUUAGAGUGGAACCAAGGGCAAGAUUUUUAAACUCUUUUUUUAUUUAGUUUACAUAGUAGCGUUACAAAAUCGUUUAUAUAAGGUAUAAUUAUGGUAAAAGGGAAUGCACUAUUAUAUUUCUAAAGUCGUCGUUACUAGUCGUGCCCACAACGUCGUGGCGCUGUGGGCACGACGAGCGACGACGCCUUUAGGUGUUAUUGGCGUUCAAAGGGUUAAAAAAAUCAGUAUGAAGUGCCUACCGCGAAAAUCAAAAUUUUGCUAUCCGUCUAUCACUCUUGCAUAAACGAGCGAUACAAUGGCGGAUAGAGAAAUUUCGAUUUUCGCGGUAGACCUCGAUGGUCUACCGUGAAAAUCGUUUUUGGUGACCAUAAACAACGCAUUAAUCAACAAAGCCGUAAUAUUAACCCCCUUAGUACAUUAACCUUACGUCUAUGGACGGUAGAGAACUCCAUACUUACGUCCGAAGUACGUAUCGGGUCUACGUUGGUCAAUUUAGAUAUACUAAUAGUCGCGUGUCACCAUGAGGUAUACGGCCGUUUCCAAUUAGCGUUUUAUACAAGCGUACGUGUACGCGCGUGUAAGCUGGUAUAGACUAAAUGUAGGUAAAAGUAACGCGCGCGUAUGCCCGUAAAAAGCAAAUGCAGGGAAAUGUAACGCGCGUAUAAGCUCGUAUCGCUGUAAGGGCCGUAUACGCUAGGCUGAAACCGCUCAUAACGAAGCGGCCGAAGUGCACAAAAAAAUCGAAACAUGCACUCUAACGCCUUGACAAUAGAGGCAUGUUCAGAUAUUUGUGAGUAUCUUGGCCGCUCCAAUAUAUAUAAUGGCGACUACAUAUUACCAAAGAGCAAAUUUUGUAGCCACAGUAAAGUUACUGCCAUCUUUCGACAUAUGAUUAAAACUUUUGGAACGCACGAAUAAAAAGUGGCAACAUCAUACCAAGCAUCGGCUAAAGGUUGUGGCGCCAUCGCUCGAAACGAUACCGCCAUGCAUUUGGCUUUUGAUCUAUUAGAUUUAUUCAUUAACAAAUUUAACAUAUAUCAGUGAAAGAAUAAUGAUCAAAGUCAAAUGGCGUUCUAAAAGUUUUAAUCAUGUGUCGGAAAAUGGCAGUAAUUUAUCGUGGUUACAAAGUUUUUUUUUUAGAAUCCACCUCUAUUUCAAAUUAUCUUUGAUACCCAUACAUUAACCCUUUGAAUGCUUUAUGUCAUAAACACAACAUCAGUCAAACACCAAAAUCCCGGGCGCAAGGGGGCCAAUGUAAACCUUAGGUAUUCGAAAGUGUGAAGGUUACUUCGACAGCGUCUGCCAGAACAGCUAUAGGUGUCCUUGGCCCUGUGGGUACGACAAGUAACGACGAUUGUAGGUAUUUUUGGCGUUCAGAAUGUUAAUCUGUACUGCAUAUCUCGUUUUCGCUCAUCCUAACCUAUCACCCAUCCUGCGUCCAUAGACGGUAGAGAAAGGACGAAAAUCUCUUAUGACAGAACUAUUGCAAAAGUAACCAGCUUUCAGCUUUAACCUUUUGAACGCCAAGAGCCACUAAAGUGGUCGUGUGCUGUCGUGCCUACCACGCCAACGACCACUAAAGAGGUCAUGGCAGACGCUGUCAAAGCAAUUUUACUGUUGACAGAUAAGGUUUAAAUUCGUUUCUCAAUAGUUGACAUAUUGGCGUGUAUGCCACAUUUUGAUGAGAGGGAGAAAGCGUUGAAAAGGUUAACCCUUUGCCAGGCUAAGGAAUAUUAUUUCACACAUGCGGCUCUUCAAACAUGUGUUCUAUUUUCGAUGAGUAAGACUGACAUUCGAUUGUCAUUUUUGAACUGUCAGCCUGGUAAAGGGUUAAAUAAUAGUUCCUAAUCUCUCCGGUGGCGCUAGGUAGGCUCAUGGAUAUUACAUGAAUCAUAUACGUAUAAUAAUAUAGAGAUGAAAUGGGGAGGGGCAGCAAAUAACCCGACCAAAUUACGACGAGCCUACCUAGCGCCACUGGAGAGAUUAUUAGGAACUAUAAUUUAACCUUUUGUACCUAACCCUUACUUGAAAAAAAGUCUACUUUGACAGCGUACGUCAUGACACCUAUAGUUGCCUUGGCGCUGUGGACUAGAUAACGACGCUUUUAUUUUAUUUUCUUGGCGUUCAAAGGGUUAAAGCUGAAAGCUGGUCACUUUUGCAAUAGUUCUGCCAUAAGAGAUUGUCGUCCUUUCUGUACCGUCCAUACUUUAGAUUGACCUAUGUUAGCCCAAUUUGACAUUGCAAAUGUCAAGCAGAAUUAGCUUUAUCCGACACGACAGUGUGUACACCAACCAUACAAAUGGCGACAGCACACGAAAACUGAUUGCAUUCACACUGCGACAGAGUUAAGCGCCACCAUAGCGUUAUAUUCCUAUAAAAAUGUGGUGUUUACCUAGUGGCGCUAGCACACUUUGGAGGGGAAGGACAUUAUUGUAAUAUUUAUAACACAAACGUUAUGAUUUUUUUCUAAUGUCAAGCAAAUGUUAGUCCAAUUUAUAUACGUUAAAUAAAGUAUCUGAAUGAUA